rnacentral:rRNA from 1 species
CAGCAGCAGCCGCGGUAAUACGUAGGGGGCUAGCGUUGUUCGGAGUUACUGGGCGUAAAGCGCACGUAGGCGGACUGGAAAGUCAGAGGUGAAAUCCCAGGGCUCAACCUUGGAACUGCCUUUGAAACUAUCAGUCUGGAGUUCGAGAGAGAUGAGUGGAAUUCCGAGUGUAGAGGUGAAAUUCGUAGAUAUUCGGAGGAACACCAGUGGCGAAGGCGGCUCACUGGCUCGAUACUGACGCUGAGGUGCGAAAGCGUGGGGAGCAAACAGGAUUAGAUACCCCCGUAGUCCCUGUCUCUUAUAC